GUGGCAGCCGCCGCGGUAAAACCAGCACCUCAAGUGGUCAGGAGGAUUAUUGGGCCUAAAGCAUCCGUAGCCUGUUCUAUAAGUUUCCGGUUAAAUCCAUUAGCUCAACUAAUGGGCCGCCGAAAAUACUGUAGAACUAGGGAGUGGGAGAGGUAGACGGUAUUCGGUAGGAAGGGGUAAAAUCCUUUGAUCUAUUGAGGACCACCUGUGGCGAAGGCGGUCUACCAGAACACGUUCGACGGUGAGGGAUGAAAGCUGGGGGAGCAAACCGGAUUAGAUACCCGGGUAGUCCCAGCUGUAAACGAUGCAGACUCGGUGAUGCGCUGGCUUGUGGCCAGUGCAGUGCCGCAGGGAAGCCGUUAAGUUUGCCGCCUGGGAAGUACGUACGCAAGUAUGAAACUUAAAGGAAUUGGCGGGGGAGCACCACAAGGGGUGAAGCCUGCGGUUCAAUUGGAGUCAACGCCAGAAAUCUUACCCGAAGAGACAGCAGAAUGAAGGUCAAGCUGGAGACUUUACCAGACAAGCUGAGAAGUGGUGCAUGGCCGUCGCCAGCUCGUGCCGUGAGAUGUCCUGUUAAGUCAGGUAACGAGCGAGAUCCCUGCCUCUAGUUGCCACCAUUACUCUCAGGAGUAGUGGGGCGAAUUAGCGGGACCGCCGCAGUUAAUGCGGAGGAAGGAAGGGGCCACGGCAGGUCAGUAUGCCCUGAAACUUUGGGGCCACACGCGGGCUGCAAUGGUAGUGACAAUGGGUUCCGAAUCCGAAAGGAGGAGGCAAUCCUCAAACGCUACCACAGUUAUGAUUGAGGGCUGCAACUCGCCCUCAUGAAUAUGGAAUCCCUAGUAACUGCGUGUCAUUACCGCGCAGUGAAUACGUCCCUGCUCCUUGCACACACCGCCCGUC
rnacentral:rRNA from 1 species